ACUUCAGCCCAACCCAUUGAUGGAUUAUCUAUCAGGCCCCUCCACAAGGUGGAGACUCGUGCGUAUCGUGGAGUCCCAUCUUGAAGAGAUGUCCAUUGAAUAAGGCAGAAGUUAAGGGUUUCGUGAAGAGAUCGACGAGCUGGUGUCUCGACGGUACAUGCACGGUGGUGAUGAAGCCCUUGUUCAACUGGUCGCGGACCACAUGGCAAUCGAUCUCUAGGUGCUUGGUCCUCUCAUGGAAGACUGGAUUAGCCGCGAUAUGUUCCGCUGCUCUGUUAUCGCAGUGGAGUGCAAUGGGGAGAUGGAGUUUCAAUCUGAAAUCUUCAAUGAGGUAACUGAGCCAUUUUAGUUCACAAACAGUAGUUGCCAUGCUUCUAUACUCAGCUUCAGCUG
rnacentral:misc_RNA from 1 species